AGGGACUUGGUUUCCUCAGCUAAAAUGAGAGGGUUGUCCUGGAGACCCUGAACGCUUCACCUCUAACAUCAAAGAGUGCUCGUGAACCAUUAAAUGAAACAAAGAAGCAGAGGAAGGAGGAGGCAGUAAGGGAGCAAGAGAAAUAAAGUACAAUGUUGUCGCAGAGCACCAGAUUCGAGCUCCCAGCAUCAUACAGCAAACUCCCACUGCCGUUUAUUUCAUAUAUGGUCUUACUUUCGACAUGCAGGAUCUUCAGUUGCAGCAUGCGGGAUCUAGUUCCCCAACCAAGGAUUGAACCCGGGCCCCCUGCAUCAGGACUGUGGAGUCUUAGCCACUGGAGUGUGUGCUAAGUCACUUCAGUCGUGUCCGACUCUCACUGACCCUAUGGACUGUAGCCCGCCAGGCUCCUCUGUCCAUGGGAUUCUCCAGGCAAGAACACUGGAGUGGGUUUCCAUGCCUUCCUCGAGGGGAUCUUCCUGACCCAGGGACUGAGCCCAUGUCUCCUCUGUCUCCUGCAUUGGGUGGGUUCUUUACCACUGCCACCACCUGGGAAGGCCCUAAGCUAGACGCUGGACCACCAGGCAAGUUCCUAAGCUCAUAAUGUUUGGAGCCCCAGUGGUAGCUGCUGCCUUCUCCCUUUCAUAGCCAGGCUGAUGAUGGCCGUUUUGGGGGCAGCACCCGGACCAGGCUGCUUAGGGAACAAGAGUCCGUCGGUGGCUAGUGGCUUCCUCUCUUUCUUAGAAUGGAUGGCUAAAGACUUUGGUUUUCCUUGGAGAACGAACAUAGAGUUGCCAUGGGGAAGGGAUAGUUAGGGAGUUUGGGAGGGAUAUGUACACACUGCUGUAUUUAAAAUGGAUAACCAACAAGGACAUAUUGUACAGUACAUGGAACUCUGUUCAAUGUGAUGUGGCAGCCUGGAUGGGAAGGGAGUUUGGGGAGAAUGAAUACAUGCAUAUGUAUGACUGAAUCCCUUCGCUGUUCACCUGAAA